GACGCCUGAAGCUAACGAAGAGCUCGGAGCCGGCAGGGCGGUGACCGUGACGGCACCAGAACUGAACGGUGACUGCAAGUAAACCUGAAUGUUUUGGAGAUGCUCAGAUAAGCAGGAGAUACGCUGUGGACGAGAACAGAGGGAGGUUUGGAUCUUGUCCGAGGCUACGCAGACUCACGGAUCCUGGACAGAGGAGGUGCAGGUGUUCCCAGACCCUUCAUGGUCUUCCUUGUACGUCUCCAGAAUCCAUCACCACAGGAAGUAGCACCAGCCCAAGGAACGGUGACGUUCAACCAG